rnacentral:rRNA from 1 species
AUUGAACGCUGGCGGAAUGCUUUACACAUGCAAGUCGAACGGUAACAGGUCUUCGGAUGCUGACGAGUGGCGAACGGGUGAGUAAUAUAUCGGAACGUGCCCAGUCGUGGGGGAUAACGUAGCGAAAGUUACGCUAAUACCGCAUACGAUAUAUGGAUGAAAGCGGGGGAUCGCAAGACCUCGCGCGAUUGGAGCGGCCGAUAGCAGAGUAGGUAGUUGGUAGGGGAAAGGCUCACCAAGCCAACGAUUUGUAGCUGGUCUGAAAGGACGACCGGCCACACUGGAACUGAGACACGGUCCAGACUCCUACGGGAGGCAGCAGUGGGGAAUUCUGGACAAUGGACGCAAGUCUGAUCCAGCCAUUCCGCGUGCAGGAUGCAGGCCCUCGGGUUGUAAACUGCUUUUGUACGGAACGAAAAGGUCUCUCCUAAUACGUGGGGCUCAUGACGGUACCGUAAGAAUAAGCACCGGCUAACUACGUGCCAGCCGCCGCAGUAAAAC